UCAUUUUUUGCAUUCAAAACACAGGACUUGGGGACAAAAAGACUGACUGAUGCUAUGAGUGAAUAUUAGUCAUGGUUUUGUUUUUGUUUUUAUUUUUGUUUUUUCCUUUUUUUAAUUAUAAUGGGACAUUAACUAGGCCCUCAUAUAAAAUGCAUGAACACUCUGCCAAUAAGCUACCCCCCUCUUCAGCUAACCUCCUUUUAAAUUUUUAUUAUUAGAAAUUAAGGUCUUGGUUGAUCAUCAAGAUGGCUUUGAAUUCUCUCUAGUCCAGUGUCUUCAAUUUAUAAUCCUCUUGCCUCAUCCUUCCAAAGAGCUGAGAUUGCAGGUCUGUGAUACCAGGCCUAGCUCACACAAACAUUUUGAAGUGUCAGUAUUGAAGGAAUGAUAAGCAGGUUCUAUCACUACAUAUAUUAACUAAAUUUUUAUUUAAUCUUUACCACAAGUCAAAAAAUAUGCCAAGCUACCAUUUUCCACAUCUUGAAAAGUUAGAGUAAUAGAAUAUAUUCUGCAGGUAGACAAGGUGGGAAUGGAAGAGGGAGGAAUCAGGAGCAGGGAAGGAUGAAAAGAGAGGGUGGAGAGGGACAGAUGGAAUUGGGGGCAGUAUUUGGGGGGGGGGAUUAGAAACCUAUUGAAGAGGAAUUUCUGGAAUCUAUGAAGGUAACCUUAGAGAGGACUCCUAGUAAUAAGAGAAUGUGGAAUCUGAACUGGCCAACUUUUACAGCCAAGAAAGGCUUCUAGUGGUUGGACUGGUUUACAUUUGGUCAAGUUGUUGACCAAGCAAGUUUCGUGGAUAUUCCCAAACAACCCAAGCUGAUCCUAGGACAUUAAGUCACUCUCUGAAAGCUGACAGCAGGGCCCCAUUCCUGAGGACAACUUCCACACAGUUCAUUGAACACAGAGAGGUCCAGUGAAUAGACUUGGAUCCUUUACCCCUAUAUUUUAGUCUCAUUGGAAUGUGAAAGUACUCUGUGGACUAUGGGAAGAAAAACAUGGACACCAACCCAGCCACAAAGCCCUCCAUAUGUCCUGCCUGCAAGAUGUAUUUGCACUUGGGCCAUGUUGGCAAAGAACUUGUUGGAAAGACCAACCAAUGUUUGGUUUAACUUGAGUACUACACCAUGAAUGAAAGCUUAUACCCUACACUGCUUGGGUGGCCAGGACUACAGACUCAAAAGCCCAGAGACACAGGGGAGGACCAAACAAACCUGGCCAAAAAAAUCAAUAAUAUGAUUCCUAAUGAUAUUCUGCUAUACUCCUUGAUCAGUCCCUUGUCCAUGGGUCAGCACUGGAUCCUCUGAAUUUUCAAGCCCAUUUCUUGCCACUUCCCAGCUUGCUGCUAUGAGCCCCCCUUAGCUGAUUUGGUGAGUCAUGUUCUCCUGGUGUCCACCAUCUCAUCUAACUCCUACAGUUUGUAUUCCCUACCUUCUGCAGGAUUUACUGAUCUCAGAAAGGAAGGUCCUGAUAGAGACUUCUAAUUUAGAUCCUGUCUGGAAAAUAUCUGGCUGUAGGACUCCGCAUGUGCUCCUAUCUGCUGCUGGAGGAAGCCUCCUUGAUGAUGACUGGACACCGGACAGAUCUAUGAGAAUAGCAUAAUAUAGGAAUCAUUUCACUAAUUUUUUGCCAGUUGUGUUUGGUUCUACCCUAUGUCUCUGGGCUACUGUGUCUGUAGUUCCUGGCCAUCCAGGCAGUGUAGGGCAUGAACCUUCUUUCAAGGCCUGGUACUCAAGUUAAAUGAAACAUUGGUUGGUCUUUCCAACAAGUUCUGCUGUUAGCUUGGUAUUUUAUGUGGGAGUUGUAACUGUAGAAGCAAGUGUUUCUCUGAGUCUUUUGAAUAUUCUUGAGACUAUUUUCCUCUGUUGGGUUGUCUUGUGCAUUCCCUAUAGGAGAGUUUUGCCUUGUCUUAUUGUAUCUUGUUUUCUCUGGUUUAACCAUCAUGUCUUGGAAGCCUGUACUUGUCUGAAGAGGAAACACAGGGUAGUGGCUCUGAGGGAAAGAGAAGUAAGGGUAAGCUAGAGGGAAUGGAAGGAGGGGAAACUGUGAUUAGGAUCUAUUUUGUGAGAAAGGAAUCUAUUUUCAAUUUUUUAAAAAAAACCUUAAAAAUAAGAAAACAAAAAAUAUAUACAUCCAUGACUCAAAACAACAACAAAAAGCACAGAACUAUACCAUAUAACAAACCUCAAGACAAAGGUGAGAAAAGUUUUCAUCAGUGAACUUUUCUUGUUUGGCGAUUUCAAUUGCUUUGUUUACAUUUAGUUUAUAAAAACCUUCAUUGAUUUAACUCUGGCUCCUUAUAGUACAAAAUACAAUGUACUAAAACAGGACUGUCUUUGCCAAAGUCUGCAGUAGACACUUGCUGCCUAAGGACUUGAUGGUAUCCGGCAUGUCCUACUCUUCCAGAUAGAUAGACUUUAACAAGGAUGUUAAAGUCAUCUUUAGGAGCUGGGGUGUAAAGCAGAAUAUUUGCCAGACAUGCCAAGACCAAGGUUUCAAUCUCUAGUACUUGAAAUAGUCAGGAGGGCAGAAUGUGUGUAUACAUU
rnacentral:lncRNA from 1 species